rnacentral:lncRNA from 1 species
GUGGGCAAAGGGUUUUUCUCGUGAACAAACCACCCAUAAUUGAAGGAAGGUUGUUGAUAAUGGCAGCAAUAUGGUGAGGAGAUGAUCGACCCGCAAAACAACUCUUUUUUAUACGCUUAAUUGCCACAUCAGUUCCCCUCCAUUUUCCAUGGUAUACUGUCCCGAAUGUACCAGAACCGAGCUCCUUUAACUCUUCAAGAUCAUCGUUUCUUAUGAUCUGCAACAGCGGACUGAUAUCAAGAUUAUCACAAGAAGGCAGCCCAACAUUCCCAGUAUCAACCUACAAAUGUUAUAUCGAGCAAACGAUGUGUUAUAUAAUCGAUCAGGUUUCAAGAAACCGUGUAGGGUCAUUGACGUAAAUUUACCUCAUGCUCUGAGUUUGGCUUCCUAAUAUUUUCCACCAUAUCAACAAACUGCAUGCUUUCACUGACUUUAACCUGUGAUGGAUCAUGUUGUGAUUGAGAUGAAAACGCAAGCUGAUCUUGAUCGAUAAGAGAAACGUCUUUUUGUGGGAACUCGUCUCCUCUCGCCAAUUUCUGGAAAAAAGACCAAUGUUGCGGUUCAUGAUUCGGUAUGUUCAUGCUCAGCCCCGCUCCAUCUUGCGGGUCAUCAUUAGCAGUAAAAUCACUAGUUUCCGCUGGUUUAUCAAAAGUUGAGAUGGGACGGAGAUCGUUUUGAGAAGGAAUGUCUUCGGAAAUUGAAUUUUGCGGGCCCAUAUCAGAACGCGAAUGAGUUAAAAUGAACUGAGAUGAAUCAUCGGACUUUGUUAGCCUGUUCAUUUCAACCUGCCCGCGUGGAAUUCUUUCGGAAUGAUAAACCCGUGGUGGGGCCACAAGCGGCUCAAGGUAGCUCAAAUCAAUGAGAUCCGACCCUGAUCCAUCGUUAUCAGCAUAAGAAUUAUUUUCAAUAUUUUUAGAAGCUUUUUCCAUGCUGGCAGCAUCAACGGUUUUUUCAUCCGCUUCACUUUUUAAAGAUUUAACAUUACCGUCUUCAACCUCUUGCUGACUUGGAUUCUUUACCGGUGACUCGUGAUUUUUCACGUCCGUAGUGUUAUUACAUUUCUGCCCUUCAGAGUUCAAUUGAACAGAAUUUUCAUUUUCAACAGGAAGUUUGUCGGUUGCUUUACUUAUGUCAAUAUCAACAUUGGGCACAUCGAGCUGGUUUGAAUUAUUUAGUGACGUGAUCCCGAGACCAUGAAAACUUGACUCCCGUCUCGAACCCAGGUCCAAACCGUUGACCGCAACCACAAACUGAACCUCUGAAUCCGCACCAGAGUUGACCAAACCAAAUUGAGUAUCGUCUAAAUCACUAAUAGAAAAUAAGAACAUUCUAAGCUUCUUCGAGGCGUCACCGUCACCAAGAACGUUACACUCCUCCAUCAUAUUCUGUAAAUCUUCAUCACACGAAACCGAUACCAACGCAUCAAGAUCCUCCCCCGGAAGCUGGUAUUUGAUUGAAGACGUUUCAUGAUAAAGUUCUAUCGCUUUGUGCCAUAAUUCUUGCCAAGAAAUAUCCCGUUUUACACGAAUAAUUCGUGUAUCUCCGCCAACGUAUCUAAGUUUCCCGUCACGUGGACGCGGUAAGAUUUUCCCGCCAAAACUGCAUAAAAUCUUGAUUUUGGAUAAAGAAUUAUCCGAUGCGCGACUACUAUUAUUUCGGGUUAUUGAUGACAUAGAUAAAGAAUCAUCAAUUGACCGAUUUGACCCUCUUUGGACAAUGUUGACCAUGGGAAUUUGAGAGCCGGUUCCAGAGCCAUAGACGCCUAACGCGCCUUUUGGUUCGAAGUAGCCAGGUGUAUGGCUAGGAUCGCCUGCGGAGUGUGGAACGAAGGGCGUUCUAGGAUUCACGCGGUCCCACAUAAACUCGAGAGAAAAUUCUUCACCUGUCUGGAUGGAAUAAUUUAGCGCAGGUUUCAUCUCGGUUGGUCGUACAUUGGUGGGAUUUAAGAAACCCUGAGAUGAAGACGAUGCGGACUCACUGUUGUCAGAUGGAACGGCGUGGCGAUAUUGGACAUGGUUGUAGCCUUUUGAAGGUUCCAUUAUUCAAAAUGAUUAUGUAAAAUCAACCUCUCUCAAAAGUAGUAUUAGUGGUGACAAAAAUCAGUUCCGAAAUACCAUGAAAACUGUGUUGAAGCCAUACGGGCACAACUCGUACUUAAACCUACAAUUUGACAAACAAAAAAAAAAAGCUCUGCUUAAUACCAUAUAUGCAUGUAUU